UACAGAGGUCCCAAGCGUUGUUCGGAUUCACUGGGCGUAAAGGGUGCGUAGGCGGUCGGGUAAGUCUGGCGUGAAAUCUCCAAGCCUAACUUGGAAACUGCGUUGGAUACUAUCCGGCUCGAGGAAUGGAGGGGAGACUGGAAUACUUGGUGUAGCAGUGAAAUGCGUAGAUAUCAAGUGGAACACCAGUGGCGAAGGCGGGUCUCUGGGCCGAUAUUGACGCUGAGGAGCGAAAGCGUGGGGAGCGAACAGG
rnacentral:rRNA from 1 species